UACGAAGGGGGCGAGCGUUGUUCGGAUUUACUGGGCGUAAAGGGCGCGCAGGCGGCUUUGUUUGUCAGGCGUGAAAGCCCCGGGCUUAACCUGGGAACUGCGUUUGAUACGGCAGGGCUAGAGUUCGGGAGAGGAGAGUGGAAUUCCCAGUUUAGAGGUGAAAUUCGUAGAUAUUGGGAAGAACCCCGGUGGCGAAGGCGGCUCUCUGGACCGAUACUGACGCUGAGGCGCGAAAGCGUGGGGAGCAAACAGG
rnacentral:rRNA from 1 species